UCCCGGUUGGCCCGGGCAGUCUCGCAUGAAAAAUACAACAUACGACAAGGGUUGCGCUCGUUGCGGGACUUAACCCAACAUCUCACGACACGAGCUUCCGACGGCCAUGCAGCACCUGUCACUGGGCUCCCGAAGGCACUCCACUAUUUCUAGCGGAUUCCCAGGAUGUCAAGCCUUGGUGAGGUUCUCCGCGUAUCGUCAAAUUAAACCACAUCAUCCUCUGCUUGUGCGGGUCCCCGUCAAUUCCUUUGAGUUUUAGCCUUGCGGCCGUACUUCCCAGGCGGCAUACUUAUCGCGUUAGCUUCGUCUCACAGGGGGUCGAUACCCCAUAAGACUAGUAUGCAUCGUUUACGGCGUGGACUAC
rnacentral:misc_RNA from 1 species